CGGCCGCCGCCUCCUUCGGUUAACUAGCAAGCCGGCGGCGGCCGCUGGUCUUUGCCGCGUCCCUCAUUAACCUCCUCAGGAGGAGCGCUCCCGCCAGCACGCCCUUUAGCCACGGAGGAGGCGAGUUUGCGACUCUUAAUGGAGGGGUCUUCAGUGAGGCGGCGCCGGCAGGGGUUCUCUCCCGCUCGCUUCCUCGCGCUUGCAGCCGGUCCCUCGCUCACGUGCCUUAAAGCGUUCAUGGAGAGUGAAGGGAAGCAUGUACAGUGAAGAAGAAUCUACACUCUGAUACGGAUCUACAUGCACUUUAUUUAAAGAGCUCUAGCUAGGUGACAAUUACACCAUAUCUAACACAACGGAGUAAAAGGAGUUUGCAUGAAGACAGCACCUCCCUUCUGAGACCCAGCAGAAAGGACGUCCAUUUCUUCAUUGAUCAGGGAUCGAACAGCAGCACCUGAAAAGUUGCUUGGCUGCAAACUGGCACAGUAUCCAUUUUCCUCCUGGAGGCCAGCCCACUUCACAGAAUUAGGAAAAAGGUUGGUUAGGAAGUCCAGCUGCUGAAUCCCACAGCACAUGAAGUCAGCUGUCAGUCCUCAUAACUACUACACCUCCCUGUGUGUAAGAAAAAAUAAGAUAUAUUCAGUCAAUAGAAUGAGGAGAAGGCAUUCAGCAGGGCUGUCCACAUUGCUCCAUACAUAACAUGGAUAUCUAGACCACUAAGGGGAUAGUAAAACAAAGUGGUUGGGCUUAUUGGCCACCCUCAGAUAUUACUUAUUUGGGGGUACAUAAACUAUGUUGCCUGUGGACUCAGGGAAGUAUAGUCCAAAAAGGACUACCUCCCAACUCUGAUCAGCCCUGUCUUCCUCCCGCAGUAGCUGUGGAAAACAGGACCAAAGAGACUGGAGAAGUGUUUUAUUUAUUUAAUUUAUACUCUGCCUUUUUCUCAGAAGA